rnacentral:lncRNA from 10 species
ACAGCGCAUGACCAGACCCGGAGGGACAGGACCCCGCUUUGGGUCCAAGUCCAGCGGUGUUUGCGGCGGGCCCGGGGCCUGGAAGCGCUGGGGCGGAGCCAAGAAUGAAACUGGAAAAUGACCUUCAUUGGAAAAGUCCCAGUCCUCGGGGAGCAGAUCCCCCAUCUCUGGCAGUGCAGUGCGCCUGGGCGCUGUCUGGAACAUUCCGCAACAGUCACUCCUCUGCCCUGCAUUGGCCUUGACCACAUGACCCAGAGGCACAGGGAGAAGCCUCCCCUGGAUGCUUGGUGAGUUGACUUCAGCGGCGUUGACUUCAGCGGCUGAGAGUGUCUAAGGAGAGCCGGGAGCACCACACGCUUCCUGCGGAUGGUGGGGCAGAUCUGUGUGCAGGAGUGCCUGAAGGGGAUCUCCUGUGGCGCUGCCUGGUCCAG